UACGUAGGGCGCAAGCGUUUAUCCGGAAUUAUUGGGCGUAAAGAGCUCGUAGGCGGUUUUGUCGCGUCUGCCCGUGAAAAGUCCGGGGGCUCAACUCCGGAUCUGCGGUGGGUACGGGCAGACUAGAGUGAUGUAGGGGGAGACUGGAAUUCCUGGUGUAGCGGUGAAAAUGCGCAGAUAUCAGGAGGAACACCGAUGGCGAAGGCAGCUCGCUAGGACGGUACUGAGCUGAGACGCGAAAAGCGUGGGGGAGCAAAACAGG
rnacentral:rRNA from 1 species